ACAGCAGCCGCCACGGUAAUACGAAGGGGGCUAGCGUUGUUCGGAAUUACUGGGCGUAAAGCGCACGUAGGCGGAUAUUUAAGUCAGGGGUGAAAUCCCAGAGCUCAACUCUGGAACUGCCUUUGAUACUGGGUAUCUUGAGUAUGGAAGAGGUGAGUGGAAUUCCGAGUGUAGAGGUGAAAUUCGUAGAUAUUCGGAGGAACACCAGUGGCGAAGGCGGCUCACUGGUCCAUUACUGACGCUGAGGUGCGAAAGCGUGGGGAGCAAACAGGAUUAGAUACCCGGGUAGUCCCUGUCUCUUAUAC
rnacentral:rRNA from 1 species